GGUCCCCGGGGCCUCUUGGGUCUGCGCGCUGGGCGGGUGGGCGCGCGUCCUGGGGAUGCUCUCCCGGGGUGGCGCUGGGAGUUUCGGUCCUUGGGGUGUGCUGGGGUGGAGCUGGGGCAGUAAUGCUGCUUACGAAACUUAAAUCUUUAAAGCAGGAAAAGUAGUUCGGGCCGUAAGCGGGAGCCCCGCCGCGGCUAACAUGGAGGGAGAGCGGGGAGGAGGAGAGGGGACGGGCUGGGCCGACGGGGACGAGGCGGCGACUGGAGCAGCAGCGAGUUCAAAAAGGCGCCUCAGUUCCGUCCUUCACUUCAGAGGAGACUGAGAGUAGUUGGGGACUUUUCCCUCCCAAGUCUGUCUCCUGGGGGCGGGGGCAGAGGAAUCGGGAUUCUUCUUUUGGGGCAAAAUUAAUUUUCCUUUCUCUCUUUUAAAGUGAGAUCAUGAUUCUCUGAAAUGUAUUUUCUUCUUUGUGAAGUGUCCUCGGGUUUUGUGUUAUCAUCUGGGCAAUGUAACGGCCUUUUCCCAAGUGUUCCCUGUAACGUUGCGCAAGUGUAAGAGAAGAUCCAUUGCUCUGCUCUUUGGGGGCUCGAGUUUCCAGUUAAAGCAUUUCAGCGCUUGUUUUUUUGUACCAAUUUUUUCAACUCUAACGACCUUCCUGAGACACUACAAACAAACCAACAAACUCUUUGCUCAGAAGCCGCUCCAUUAACUCAAAGGUUUAUGGACAGAAAAUAAACAAUUCUAAAUUCCCCGGGCUCCAGUCUCCAGGAAAGUGAGGUCAGAAACUAAACAUUUGAUAAUUAUGGCAGGAAAUAUGGAAGGAAUUAAAAAGCAUGAGGGAGAAGAAAUGGAAUGCACAUUACAAAAGAAAUAGCUCCCUGGUGGGUGGUUUAUGCUCCCUGUUUGAAUUUUUUCCUUCAUAUUACAGUUUAACCACACCCUUAGCAUCGCAGCUUGACUCUGCCCAAAAAAGUCAUAAAUGCAUACAAGGUCUUCACAAUUUUUAAAAAAUACGCAUUGUACUGAAUUCUCAUUUAAUUCACUACUACGUUGUUGAUUGAGGUGGAAACUCAAUCAACUGUUUUUACUGCCAAUGAAAUAAAAGUAGCUAAUAUUUAUUAAAUAUCUGCUAUGUUGUAAUAAAAUUCCAUUUUAAUGACAGAUAAAUUGAGUCAGCGAAGGUUACCCAAUGCUCUCAGCUAUUAAAUGCUAAGGGUGGGAUUUGAACCCAAACAGUCUGGCUCCGGACCCAAGGCUCUUGACCAUUAACCCACACCACUUCCAAGCACAAUGGUUUAACAUUUACCAAGUACAUUUUUGUUUACCACACACUGGGCUGUGUACGUUACCUGCAGUUACUUCUUUUAAAGCUCCCAAACCCUGUAAUGUAGGUUUUAUUAUCCCGAUUUUACAGAGGAAGAAACAGGUUUAAGGAGAUUAGGUAACUUGCCCAGGGUCAUACAACUAGUUAGCUCUGAAGCAGGAUCUGAACCUACCUCUCUUACCUUUGGAGCCCAUCUUGAACUCCAGGUCUGCUUCUUAUCCAUCUGGUUUUCCAGGGUUUGCAUUUGAGAGCGUAUCCCCCUUCACUGGCUGAUGUAGCCCUGGUUAAGAAACAUUUCUCCAUCCCCUGCUGUGGCCCUCAAAAGGCAGUUGCAGACCAGUGAUGGAUGAGGUGAAUCCCUGGUUGGUUUUCCAGCAGGCUCAAGAAUUGCCAGCCAGUGUGUGAAAUCACUCAGUGAACUGGAAUGCAAAUAUGAGGUGUGAGGAGGCUGUUGGUUGACUUACCAGGCUGUGUGGCCCAAGGUCUGGAAUCUAUUCUAGGCGGCCUGCAAGACACACACCCCUCCCAACCCCCUUCCACACAGGGAAAACUUAUCCCUGGUAGGAAGUUCCCCCAGCAGCAAUUUCCUGCUGGAGGUAGAAGAGCAUCCAGUGCUCUCACAUAAUUCCCAGGCAAACUACAGGGAAGAAGGCAAAAUAGAGAAGUACUGAGAUGUGAAAACAGAGUGCGUUGGGGGAGAAAAGAGGCUGUGAACUCACAGUGUAUGGAAAUGGUUACAAUGAAAAGAGUGAGGGGUAGGUAUGAGCUAGGUUACAUUUCAUGGCUCCAGGUUAUUAAGGAUUAUUAUCUUUUAAUUAUUCCAACCUCCUGGUGCCUGGCCAAGUAAGAUUUGGCAAGUUUUUAAUCCAUUUAAUAAUAAUAUACCUUUAACAAUUGAUGAAGAGGUACAUUAACCCUCUCCCUAUGGGAAUUGUAAUUUGGAUUUUUUAAAAGCCUUUUAUCUUGUAGUUAAUGGUGCUUGCUGUUUAAAUUUCUUCCUUGUUAACUCUAAGGACAGUCUGCAAAAAUGGUCACAUCAUGAUAUUUACAGUCCUUAGUGACAAUCUAUUUUAGUAAACUUCAAAUCGCUAAAAUUGUACAAAUAUUGUUGAACUUUUUAGAAAUGAAAUUUAGAAAAUAAAUUGAGGCUUCUUGGUGCUUUCUGCUUUUCUGCGACCAUAAAUAUUUAAUUCAGCAUAUUUUUAAACAAUUUAAUCACUUUACAAAUCAUGUUGAUAUUUGAAGAAGCCAGAGCCUCUGUAGUAAACCAGAAUCAGAGGUGCUCUCCACUUGGGAAAAGGUGAUUGUCAUCAGUAUUAAUGCCAGUCUAUGUCAAUCCCAUUUGGUUAGAUUCACAAAGCUAUUAACAAAAGUCAUAAAGGAGCCUGGGCUCAGUGGCUCAUGCCUGUAAUCCCAGCACUUUGGGAGGCCAAGACGGGAGGACUGCUUGAGCCCAGGAAUUUGAGACCAGCCUGGGCAACAUCGUGAGACCAUAUCUCUACAAAAAAUAAGAAAAUUACCUGGGCAUGGUAGCACACACGCCUCUGGUCCCAGCUACUCAGGAGGCUGAAGCAGGAAAAUCACUUGAACCCAGGAGGUUGAGGCUGCAGUGAGCCGUGAUGGUGCCACUGCACUCCAGCCUGAGCAACAGAGUGAAACCUUGUAUUUAAAAAAAUAGAAACAAACUCAUUAAGCAAAGUGUCAUAUUGUUUUGAAUGUGUUCCAUGGUGUCCUACUUCCUUGGCACCUCAGGGUUGCUUUCUGAUUGCUUCUUCUCUUUCUUACCUGCUCACUCUCUUACUACUCUGUCUGCAGCAUAUACCUUCAGCCAGCCUCCCUCCAGAUUCUGCCACAUCCACCUGAGCACACACACCCAUGCACUCUGUAGUCUGCUUGAAAGAAGGUACUGGGUGUAGCAUAUGUCUCUAGAUGUGUGUAGAUUAACAUGUGAAUGGACUAGGCAGAGAGGGCAGCAGCAGAGGGAGUGCCUGCACUAAUAAUUACACAGAUAUCCCUUUUCUAGAUUCUCUGGGGAGAGGACUGUGUGAGCCUGCUCAUCUACUCUUUCCCAUCCCCCUCCCAUUGGGAAUUACUACAGUUCAUUGAGAAGUGUUGAUGGUGGAUGCAUAGUAUGGAGCCUGGGAAAAUGUUAAGAACACAGGCGGUAGUGUGUGUGCCCUUGAAGCUCAGUCAGUGGAUAUCUGUCACUCUAACAUGGCAGGCUGGAGAGAACCCUGUGGCCCAACUGCCUGCUUUAGGAAGACAGCCCUGGCAAGUACCCAAGCAUACCCCCACUCUCCCUUGGUGGAUGUCUCUGCUGUCACUAUGAUUCCCAGCAUUCCAGGUCUAGAAAUUCAUUAUGAUAAGUCACAUGUACAGUUAACUGAUUUGUAGUUCAGAAUCCUCAUUCCAGUAAGGGAUCCAUGCUUGACCCAUGAACUUUGAGUGUAUUACCUAAGAGAGAACAAUAGCAAUUCUACAAAUAGAUGUACUUCACUUAGCUCUAGACAUGCAAUACUAGAAGAUUAUGAGGGCUUUGUCCUGAGGCCACGUUUCUUAACCUCACCGUACCCUAUUAUCGGCAUUGUACACUAGGGGUUAUAUUUGGGAGCUCCUCUAUGUUCUUUAGAAUUGUUCUGAUGGUAGACUCAAGUAAGCCUUGCAUCUAACCCAUAUCUCUGACUGCAUCUUCUUGGUGCCACAACUUGUAUUAUUAACAAAGCUAAAAAGAUCUCUAAAAUGAUCUCUUGCUUGUUUAUCCUUUGGCAAAUAAGCUACUUGUUGCAGUUCUAAAGACCAUUGCUGGAAAUUGGGGUGUAAAACAUAGCAGGGGCUGUGCAGACUAGCCAGAACAGAAGGGCAAGCACCCAGCAUAGGAGGCCCUGGCCAUCGCAAGUGGCUUUAGAAGGUGGACACGUUACAGUUCCCCUAGAAGUCUCUGGAUUGGGUGACAGAAACCAGGACUCCAUCCCCAGGCUCAUAGAAGCAAGUUGGAGAGGAACCAUGAGGUGAAGAUCUGGUCAUGGGCUGAAGUGGAUGUAAUGAUCCGAGAGGAAAUGCCCCAAAGACGAAAAGAAAGUCUUUGAAGUCAGUGGGGCAGAGCAACACAUGCUGCCACAAGAAUAGGAAGUAAAGGAUGAGCUGUAAAUUACCAGUGAUCACAUAUGAGAAUUGAAAAUGUCAUGGAUUCUUUGUCUUAGUCCUCUUCAAAUAACUGGACAUCUGGCAGAAUGUUUCUAACAGACAUAAAUUUUAUUAGCUUAAUGAUACCAGUUAAUAGGGAAAAAAAGUACAUUAGAUAGGUUCACUUUGUAAGCCAGAUGAUUAAUGUCCUCAGAGGGCAAAUGCAUACUUUUUGUUUAGGAUGCUCUAUUCUGACUCCUGCGAUUUUGGCAAGGGGUGCUUUCUCUGAGAGUAUGCCAUGAAUGGCGUGGCCUUCCCUUCACUGUCCUCAUCGAGCCUAUCCCCUGCUGCAGCUGAGCGCACCUGGUACUCAGGUCAGAGUCACAGUGAAGCACAAGGCAUGGUCUCUGCCCUCACAUUAUUUACAGUCUAGUGGUGGGUCCAGGUGCUUUAAAUCGUGGCAGCUACAGUUUAUAUUAUUAUAACUACAUAGUAACUAGUAGCUUUAUACUUAUUGCUGUUUUUUUUUUAAUUUACAUUAAUGUAGGGCCUUCCUUUGUAAGAUCCUUUUAUGGUAGCAAAAUGCACAAAUCUUCCAUGUAUAGCUUCAUGAACUUUUACAUCUGGCCCAUGUAGGCACCAUGCGACAAGACUGAGGGAGUUAGUACAGAAAGGUAUGAACCUGUAUGUUACCAUGAAGUUACAUACAGGAAAAGUUACCAUGAAGAAAAUGAGGGAUAGGGAUGAUCUAGGGUACAUUUCAUGACUCUCUGCCCAAAGAUGGCUAUCUUUUAAUCUGUCUCUUCUCUUGGUGUCUAGCCCAGGUAACAUUUAGCAAGUUUUUAAUCCAUGUUUUAACAACAGCAAACCUUCAAUAAUUAAUGAAAGAUAAAUUAAUCCUCUCUAUAUGAGACUUACUAUUUGGAUGUUAUUUUUAACAUUUUAACUUGUUAACAAUAAAUGGCUUUCCUUGUUAGCUACAAGGAUGUGCAGCAAACACAGUGAAAUACAGCCUUAAUUGACAUUAAUCCAUUUUAGUAAACUUUAGAUCUGCUUUGGGGAGCUUUCUUGACUGUUUUGUGGAUGGAUAGAUAUUCCAGGGCUCACUGUAAUCUAUAUUGAAUUCCACAAAGAACUCAAAUCAUUCUGUUAGACCACUUUGCCCUGGUCAUUAUUACUUUUGAAAGGACUCUACAUAAGAUGUCAGUCAUGUUAUUUAUGACAGCAAAAAACUUAACAUUGACUACAUAGUCAACCGUAGGAGAAGGGUUAAAUAAAUCAUGGAACAGCUGUAUGUGCCACCAAAAGCAUUUACAAAAACAUUUUGAAGCGCCGGCAAAUGAUUAUAAUUUAAUUUAAAAAGCACACACCCCCCAGCUUUAUUCUCACGACUGUAAAAAUUUAUAGAAAAGUACAACAAACAAAUGUGUUAGAAAUUAUCUGUAGGUAGUGGAUUUAUGGGUCAUUUUAUUCUUUGCUCUAGUCUUUUCUAUAUUCUCUAAGCUUUUAAUUGGCAUAUUUUAUUUUCAUAUUUUAUCAGAAAAUAACACAUUAACUUUUUUAUUUAAAUAAAAUACCACAUAUUAGGAGAAGGGAAAAUUCCUCUCGAAAAAAGGAGGGGAUCACAAGAAUCGUCACGAUGUCAAGGCACUGGAUGAAAUAUCCAAGGGGCAGGACUUCAGGGAUUGCUUAAGGAGAAAAAGGUGGGGUGGUAAAUGGCCUUUCAGAGAUGGCACAGACGUGGCAUACAUAUUACCAUUACCCUCUCCCUUACCCAUGACAGACAUUUCUAAUCAAUCAUAGAAUUCUUUCCUACUGAACUUGGAGAAGGUUUGAAAAUCCUACUCAGCAAUAUUCUAGGUAGCCACUAGCAAUCAGAGUCUAUAUGAGAUGAAAGCUAUUUACCAUCCCUGCUGGAUGGUAAAUCAGUCCAAUUUGACAAACAUUGACACAUCUUUAGCCAAAAUUAAGAUAAUUAGAAGACAGAGUUUGGGACUGUAUGAAACUGACAAAAACAACAUAGGGUAAUAGAUGAUAGAACUGGGUUAGCAAAUGGAUGAAAUGUCAGGAAAAUAGCACUUACACCAGAUUUUGGCCCAAGUUUCUAAGCUCUUUGGAUGAAUCUGAACACCUUAAAGUAAGCCAGACCUUCUAACAUUGGCCCAGUCAACAAAAAUAUAACGAGAAUUUUCUUGGCUAUUCUGAUGAAGUAAACAGUUGCUCUUGCUAAAGUUCUAAGAGCUGCUGCUGUCAUAGAUAACAGCUUUUGCAUUAGCCUGGCAAUAACUUGCUAAUAGAAUGCUCUUUGGGUAGUUGGAGUACAAAAUAAUUCCCAUAAAUCUUCAUUUCCUGCUUUGGUUGGAGGAUUUCCAUUUAAUCUUUUCACAGACUUUAGAUGCUCAUUUGGAAGCCAUCACCAAUAAACUAUUCCCAGGAUUAGUCUGAAUGUAUGACCCCCAUAUGUCCCUUGAAUAAUCCUGGACACCAUUUGUGACCAACUAAGCUGUUGACAAACAGGUCAUAUGAUACAUGACAAAAGCUAUCACAUGUUGCAGGCCCAGAUUUAUAUGUGCAUGCAUGUGUGCAUGUGUGUGUGUGUGUCAUGGGAUAUUGGCUUGAAUUGAUGUAAGGAAAACGUCUCUCUGUCUUUCUAUACUUUUUGUUGUUUCAAGAUUUAAAAUCCUAUGUCUGAGGCAAAAUUUGUCUUUUCCCCUGUCUUUCCUCUUAUCCUUCAAUGACAGUUAAUAAGUGUAAUUUAUGGAUCUACAGAAGUGUCAGGCAUUAUGCUAGUCAGUUUGCACAUAAGCUACUAUUAGGAAGAGUGUGGGACUAAAAAGCCUUACCAUACAGAUCCCUGUUCUGAAGGAGCUGCUACCACCAUCGCUGCUUGGCCAUUAGGGGUCAGAUGUAAGGCUUUAGCAGAAAUUCCCCUUCCUCACCUCUUGGCACUACUUCAGAAAAUCCUGAAACAUGGCAGUGGGAUAGAUGGCCCCUGCCUUCUCAGAAUUUGAAAGACUCCACUUGGGCAGCUGGGGCCCUUUUCAGCCUGUCCACCUAAUCAGUAUGUCCAGUAGAUGGCAGCUUUUUGUGUGGAACUUUUUUUUUUAAUUUAUUAUUAUUAUACUUUAAGUUUUAGGGUACAUGUGCACAGUGUGCAGGUUAGUUACAUAUGUAUACAUGUGCCAUGCUGGUGCACUGCACCCACUAACUCGUCAUCUAGCCUUAGGUGUAUCUCCCAAUGCUAUCCCUCCCCCCUCCCCCCACCCCACAACAGUCCCCAGAGUGUGAUGUUCCCCUUCACUUUAUCUUACCUUGUGACCGUUCUGGGGGUCUGCUGUUUUUCUCUUCCCAUUUUUCUUUGUCUUUUCUUGUUCUCAUUUCUGGGUGUCUCCAAGUCUGCUUUUUUUUUUUUUUUUUUUUUUCUUUUUUGAGAUGGAGUCCGCUCUGUCACCCAGGCUGGAGCACAGUGGUGCGAUCUCGGCUCACUGCAACCUCCUCUGCCUCCUGGGUUCAAGUGAUUCUCCUGCCUCAGCCUCCUGAGUAGCUGGGAUUACAAGCGCCUGCCACCACACCCGGCUAAUUUUUGUGUUUUUAGUAGAGAUGGGGUUUCACCUAGUUGGCCAGGCUGGUCUGGAACUCCCACCCUCAAGUGAUCCACCCGCCUCAGCCUCCCAAAGUGCUGGGAUUAGAGGCGUGAGCCACGAUGCCAGGCCUAACUCUGUCUUUUUCAUAGACUCUGUAACAAACCCAUUUUGUUAUUAAGAGCAACGCUGUAGAACAAUGAAAGAGUCCAACUUAGAAGUCCUGCUGUGCCCUUUUCUGGGCACCUUUUUAAAGUCACAUAAUGUCUCUAACUUGUAUCUUCAGUUAAGAGCGAGGGCUUUGGGGCAGUGGACUGAGUUUGAAUUCUGGCCUUGUCCAGCUGUGAGGCCUUGUGCAAGUUACUUAACCUCCCCGAAGUCACUUUCCUUACCAGUAGAAUGGGAAUCAUUCCUGUGUCUCUACCUGUCUACUCGAUUAGAUCUUGGAAAAGGUCUCCUCUACUCAUGGUGUAUAGUCAACACCAAAAACAAAUACCUGCAAGAGAUGAAGGGUCGCUUAUGUUUUUGACUCUGUAAUGAUUUCACCAGGAGAAUCCUCAGUAUACAAGUAAACAUCCACUAGGCAUGGUCUUUAUUUGCACAGCCUUUGUGCUGGCUCAGGUUGUUACUCUGAUUACUGAUUUUUCCUCGAGAGGAAGUAUAACAUAAUGGCUUAGCGCUCAGACCUGGAAGCUAGAUUAAAUCCUAGCACUGCCCUUACUAGCCAUGUGAUCUUGGGAAAACUACUUAAAACCUCUCUGAGCCUGUUUCCCCAUCUCUAAAACGGGCUUAAUCCAGAGUAUCUACCCCAUAGGUUGGUUGUGAGAAUUAAAUAAGCUCUUACAUGUAAAGCAGAGUGUUUUGGCACACAGUGUGCAGUGUUAGUUGGUAUUAUCAUCUUCAGGGCAUCUCUAGGGGACGAACUCCAAAAGCCAUGGGUGCGUGUGUGUGUGUGUACAUGUGUGUACACACGUGUGUUUGCACACACAUUCACGCACGUGUAUAUGUGUGUUCAUGGCAUACAGAAGUCUCCUUGCUUCUUUUUCUCUCUCCAGAGAUUUAAUUAUCACCUUCUUUUUUAAAGAGAAAACUAGGAUAUUUACUUCAGUGGAUGCUUUAAGGCCCAGAAUUUAUAUCAGAACCCUUGCUUCUACUGAGCUAAUCUUGCCCUUAAACUUCUAUGUAGUGUUUCUUCUGUGAAGCCACAGUUCUAUCAUUCCUCCAGGAAGAGAUUGAAGUACUCAUGGAGCAUCUCCUGUGCAGAGGCAGUAGGAUGGGAAGCCAGCAUAGGUUCUCCCUAAAGGUAGAGUGAGUGAAUGGAAAUAACUGGGAAGAAAACAGAAAGAAAAGGCAAAAAAAGAGGUAUGUAUGAAGGUGGCAAACAGAUAUCUUGGGUGGUCAUUUCCAUUUUGCUGUGGUCUUCAUAGCAUGGCCUGUUACCAGGCAAUAAAUUUCAAAUUGUUGGUGUGGAAAAUGUGAUAAUGCAAAGGAAUAGGAUCCUUUGCUUUCAUUAUUUCAAAAAUAAGUGCCAAUUACUCUCAAAGACAGGGUAAGAAGUAUUCCUGGAGCAAGCUGGAAUUUGUCCCUUUGGGAGCCAAGGCCACAGCUUCUGGUACUUUGCACACAGACCUGCAGUCCCACUAGGGAGGGGCUGCUGUGUCUGCAGCCAGGCCGAUGCCAGCCUCACAUGCCCACCCCUUCCUGGCCCUGGAGCCAGCUCUCUGUACCACUCCUUAUGUUGCUCUUUGCUCUUCCCUUCAUCUUUCUCCUCUAUUUUCCUUCUCUCACCAUUACAGAGAGGUCAUCCUGAAGUGUCUGGGCUGCAGUAGGAGCUGCCAAACAUUCACGAACCACCACGUUCACAUUAGAUGCAGAGAUAAAACUGCACAAAGUCUCAAUACACUAUUUUGCAUCACUCAUCUGGGACAAAGUAAAAUUUUUCAAAGUCAACUCAAAAGAGGAAAACAAAAGGUAUUGCAAAUCUGUUCUCUGUUAGGCACUGAGUUAGUGCUGGUGGAUAAGAGACCUUGUGCCCAAAGAGCUUGCAGUCCGGAGGGGAGGCAGACAGGAACACAGGCUCAAAGUGAUGCAAUGUGAGAAGUAUUGGGACAGGGCUGAAAACCUAACCCAGCACGAAGGGCUCAGGAGCGCUUCCAGGAGGAAGUGACCCACCAGCUGAGCUCUGAAAAAUGACUGAUAGUCACUGUGUCUUGUGGAAGUUUGAAAACCAAAGACACUUCUGCUAGGUAACAUCCACUCAGCAUUGUAGAGACCCAGCCGUUUAACUUUCCAGGUAACAUCAGUUGUUAUAUGGCUAUGUGCCUGGAAUGACACUUCAGACUUGGCCAUUCUGGCCACAUAGACAUGGCAGGCAUGACCUCCAUUUGGAAUUAGGUCCAUUUACUUCUGAGUCACAUUGGAAUGCAGUUUUUACAGUGGAGCAUUUGCAGCCUAAUGAUCAGUGACUUAGGAGUUUUGGGGGUUUUUUUUUGUACCAGUUGUUUUGUUUUGUUUUUUGACACAGGAUCUUGCUCUGUUGCCCGGGCUGGAGAGCAGUGACACAAUCUUAGCUCACUGCAGCCUCUACAUCCUGGCUUAAGCAAUCCUUCCACCUCAGCCUCCAGAGUAGCUGGGACUACAGGCAUGUGCCAUCAGGCCCAGCUAAUUUUUGUGUUUUUAGUGGAGACAGGGUUUCACCUUGUUGCCCAUGCUGGUCUCUAACUCCUGGGCUUAGGCGAUCCUCCCUCCUCAGCCUCCCAAAGUGCUAGCAUUACAGUCGUGAGCCACAGUGCCCAGCCUUGGGGGAUGUUUUAAGGCAAUUUCUUUGUUCUUCAGAUGUAUUCACAACUGUUCCGCAUUAAAUAAGGCCAAAUGGCAAGACAGCUCUAAAACGCCAGCAGAGUUGCUAGGUAGGGUUGUACAGACUGUUCACUGCACAAGUGUGUCAUGUACCUGUGUGUGGCACAGGGCUUGUCUGCCCACCCACAGGAAGGAGCACAUUUUUUUCUAACUGAUGUGCAAAGCUCCCCAAACCCAACGUUAUCUCUGAGUCAUGUGAUGUUUAUUAGACUAUGGCAGUCAUUUCUACAUUUGUGCAUCUUAUAAGUUGAUUUCAUUUAGACUCUUGCAAAGUUUUUGUACUAGGCCUCCAUCAAAAGCCAGUUCUGUGUUUUUGUGGAUUUUCCUCAUAGAUAAGCAGAGAUGAUAGACAUGGAAAUCUUAAAUAUCUGGUUUCUUGUACCCACAGUGUGCUACUUUGGGCUGUUGCACAAGUCAGUCUAGUUUGGGAACUGUGAUUCCCCAGGAAUUAAAACAAGUAUUCCCAGCUUCCUUCUGAUUGCUGGAUUAGCAGAAUUUCCUCAGCCUCCAGCUGAAUUCCAGCCCCUGGGAAGAAAUGUCUUAGAGUAAACCCCCAGCCUGGAGCCUGUCAGAGGUUGUGUCAUGUGUUUGCAUUAGCUGAGCAAAACCCGAGCAGGCUUUCCGGCCUUGCUCUCGCCUCCUCCCUGCACGCCUCUCCGCUGGGAGAGGCCAGUUAAAGUCUAGACACUGUCUGCUUGGCUCUGUGCCUUUUUAGCACAAUCUGCAUGGUUCUGUAGCUCUUACUUUGGUUGUCUGUCCUCACUCGUUUCCCCAGUUUUCUUAGUUAGGCUUAAACUGUCCCGGGGGACUGGCAACGAGUCGCACACAUAGGAAACAGGUGAGUGAAUUUAUGAGACUGUCAGGAUUCAGCUGCCUUGAAAGGUUCAGAGUGAAGAUAGCAGCAGUGCUGACUGAAACUGUGGCUGAGUUUACAGACAUCCCUGGUGUGAGCUGGCUUCAAACGAACCUCCAUUUACUGGCCAGAGAUGGGCUGGGAUGAAUAACUCAGGACAGACAGUGGCACCCCAGGUAAUGAGCAGCCACCUGACUCCUCAUCUGCCAAAUAUGGGGGUUAGAGUAGGUGGGCUCUAAAAUGCAGCUUUGAAGUCCUAUUCAUAUAAAAGGAGGCGGAUAUUCUAGGCUAGACUGUCAAAAUAUUCUACUUAAUGGAAUUGGGAUAUUUGAUUAACUCUUAUGGUGAUUUACAGCCUAGUGAAGAACAGUUUGAAAGAUAGGCUGGCUCAAGAAUGAGAAAACAGAGUGAAUAAAAACAGGAGGCAUCUUGUGUCCUUUACUUUCUCUCGCCAUGUAGUGAGUGGAAUAUAAACAGUACGGCAUGUGGCACCUGAACAGUCUUCAUGCCCAGGAAUCCCAAAUGCUGUUUACUCUACAGAAAGGAAUCACUUGAUUUUCCACUUCAGAAGCCAACCGCUCAACAACACUGGGGAAGAAAUGAAGAAUCCUGGGUCUCCUUGUAGUCGAUCAAGAAAUUUUGGGGGGAAAAAGGGAAGACAACCCCUAAUUCAGAGUGUGCAGUUUGGGAUUUAUUGAACUUACUUGAAAAACAAAAGCAAACAAAACUUUUUCUCGCUUCUGUAAAUGUUCACAUUUUCUUUUAAAAAUAAUGAUGCAGUAUUGCAAAUGGCUUACAGAAAUAGUUGUCUGAAACUAUUGCGUGGACCCUAAUUUUGUUUUCUGGAAUCCUUCUUAUUACUUUCUCAUCAUGUUGCCUGGCCCAUGAUCAGGAUCCAGGGGCUCCUGAACAAGUAUUAAUGAAUUGCCUGCCCUGCUCCCCUGGCCCUGAUCUCUGGUCAGAUCAGGCUCUUACUACAGCCCAUGGGCACUGGUCUUUGGCUUUGACCCAAUGGUUAAAUCAAGUGACUUGUUAGGGUGAACACAGUAAGGAAACAGAGGCCAAUGCAGAUGUUUUAGUCCUGCUGAAAUGCUUGGUACCUUGCCUGUACUCCAGUUCCCGAAUCUCACUAGAAAAUCCCAAUGUGCUAAAUCGUGCUAUUGAUCCUGACUGGGGAGCCAGCCAGCUCAAUAUUGGAGGUGGCUUUUCUAGUAAGGGUACAGUACAGGUUAGAAUUGAAUUAAAUUUUGCUGUGCCCCAGGGUAGACUAUAUGUGUGUGUGUGUGUGUGCAUGGAUAUGUGUCUGUGUACAUACAGAAUACACAAGGAGACAUGCACACACACACACAAAUAGACACUGACUUAAAUUUCACCACUAGGAGAACAUGGCCAUCUCCCUAUAGCUCUAAUAGUGAGACUUUUCUCACAAAAAUUCCUGUGGAAUUUGUUUUGUUUUAAUUUAGUUUAGUGUUUGACUUAUGUUAUACUGCCCUGAUUUCUUUCUAAGCCUAGGCACAUAAACCAGUGCUUAUUUUUAUGGUGUGAAGUUUGCCUGUUAAUGAAUUUAAUAAGUGCAUGUCAUUCAUUCACUCAUUCCCUACCAUAUUCCAAAAAUAAGACAUAGGUUUUCCCUCCCUAAUCCCACAGCCAACAUAUCCUAUUAGCUUCUGUAAGGGUUGGGCUAAUUACAUGUAUUUUUAGCUAUUGAGAGGGCCCAAGUUUGUAGUUUGUGGCAUAACAUUUGUGACAGAGAAAAAGAAAAUGGACGGGACCUCAAAGAUGGUCCGAGAAAUUUCUGAUCCCCUUCACACAUAUACCUGGCUCACCUAAACUGUAGUGUGAAAUUGAUACAGUGGAAUUUCUAUCAGAGAGGCUAAACACUAUUGAAACAGAAAUACAGAUGCUCACCCUGAGCAAAGACUCAGACAUACUGAGUUCCCUUUACUGUCAGGGUCCCUACCAGGAGGGCCCAGCAUGGCUUCUUGGUGGCCCAGCCGAGCUCACAAAACUUGCUUUGGGAUGGAGGCAGAUGUAUGCUUGCCAGUCAUUCACAAAUACUCGGAGCACGCAGCUUCGCUUCUCCCAGGGCACCACCAUCCCUGGUUUUGCACUAUGUGCUAUAAUUAUGGUGCUACAGGGACAGGCUGAGUCCUAUAUCAGAAGCAGGAAAUUCACCUGGCUUCUCCCUAGAGUCCCAGCAGUCUUUCAGGAAUGUGUCUGUUUGUGCUUUGUUCCCCUUCCUCUAGUUUUCCCUCCUUGACAUUUUCUAUUUUCUUUCCUUUCUUAUCCUAUGUGGCCUUGGUCUUGCUGACAGCCACAUGCAGAGAUGCAGAUUUUCUGGUUUAGCUAUUUAUUUUAAGGAGAAAGACAUUCACUUUAUGCAUUAAUUGGUGUCUGCCUCCUGUUCCACAGAAGGGUAAUUUUCUGUGUGGCACCAAGGGCUUGAUAGUGAUCAAAGAAAACCCCAGUUCCCAGUAGGAACACACUUCAGGUGUGAGUCCAUUUUGGGUUUCUCAAUCUCCUUUCUUGGGAGAUGAAACUAGAAGGGAGAAUGGGACUGGGAAAUGUUUUGAGUAGAGGCCAGACAUUCAAGUCUUGGCUAAAUGUUGGGUAUAAUAAUUUCAGUACUCACUGCAGACUUAUUUCUUAAUAAAACUCCCCAAGCUACUUGUGGACCAUGUUGUUUUAAAGGAUAGUUACAAAGUUAACCGCUUCCUCUUACAGAUACAAUUGGAGAAGAGUCUUUGUGUUUUUUCAUUUUCUACAAAGGAACAUAUAUAAGCUAGAUAAUAAGAAACCAUGUUGGGGUUGUUUUUGUUUAUUACGUGUCCUAUUUUAGAUACUUUUUUUUUUUUACAAAAAUAAACUGUGAUAGGGAUAUGAAAUCCUGUAAAAACAACCAGCGCUUGAGGAUGACUACCCCACUAUGUUGGUCAUUUUACAGCUUAGGUAAUUGCGUUUUUCCUCCAAAUUCCCCAUACACAUUUGAUCAAAUAGAAGUCUCUUCAUUUCCUGUUUAAGUUGCUCCAUGGAAUUGCUGUGUGGAUUAGAGAGCAAGCUGGGUUCCUCCCCAGUGGCUGUGUUUCCGUUGGUUGAUUGGGUUAUUUUCCAGGUAAUGCUAUAAUUAUUUUGCCCAGUGUAAAUGGCAUUGUCGUGUAGUGACUGAAAUUACUCAUGUUACAGUGGCCUGGAAUGUAAAGACUUCCUCAUUCUCCAGUGAUUUGUUGUUUGACUCUGACUCCAGGAAAAAGUCUUUUCUCUGCCUAGGCUGAAGUGUGUGCAUGUAUUUGGGGCUCAGAUAGAUAGCUGAGGCUCUAGACUGCCAGUCUGUGGGCUCAGAUGUGACAGUAGCCAUAUUCAGAAAGUCAUGACAGUCUCUGAGAAAGAGACAAAAGUUAGGAAUUGUAAGCCUAAGAGUGUUCAAAGCAUGUAAUGAACUGUCCCCAAAUGGUUCUUGUCCUAGAAGUGGGUAGAACAAAUAAGGAGGAGGAAAAUAGUGAUGAGGAAGACUGGAAGAAGGGAGGUGGUGAUGCACGUGGGAAACUCUGUUAAUUUUAGUGGGUUAAGCAAAUGCAGAUGAGGCAAUUGAGUGAAGAAUUUCUGUUAAGUGCUUCAUGAGAAAAUACUGUGAGUGAACACUGCAGAUGUAUAUGAUCAGAAAAGAUAUAUCACUGUUUUUUGUUUGUUUGUUUUUGUUUUGAGACAGAGUCUCGCUCUGUCGCCCAGACUGGAGUGUAGUGGCAGGAUCUCGGCUCACUGCAACCUCUGCCUCCUGGAUUAAAGCAAUUCUCGUGCCUCAGCCUCCCAAGUAGCUGGGAUUACAGGUGCCUGCAACCACGCCCGGCUAAUUUUUGUAUUUUUGGUAGAGAUGGGGUUUCACCAUGUUGGCCAGGCUGGUCUUGAACUCCUGACCUCAUGUGAGCUCCCUGACUCAACCUCCCAAUGUGCUGGGAUUAUAGGCAUGAGCCACCGUGCCUGGCUGUUUUUUGUAAGUAAAUGUAUGCUCUGUAAGCACAACUCACAAAUGAUAAUUAAAGCUGUAAAUUAAAAUGGCACCUGUACAUAGUGUGUGGCAAGGGAGAUGAUGUCUACAAAGGUGCCUCCCACAAGGUAAGUACUCAAUAAAUAGUAGUUGCUAUUGUUCUCCUUGUUGUUAUGGCUUGAAUUCCAAGGAACGGUAAUAACACCAUAGGGAGAGACAUGAAGAGCCUAGACCCAAAGUGUGUAGUGAGUGAAGUCCAUAUAUGUGCUGGGUUAAAUGGUUUUUUAGUUAGAGGAUGUUCCAGAGUUUUACAAAGUUCGUGUGCGUUUAUGACUCUAGAAGGAAGUAUAAUAAGUAAUGUUUCCCAAACAUUUUACCACAGAACACCAUUUCAAAAAAGGCCAUAAAUAUUUCAAGGCUAGUGUUCCAUGGACAGACUUCCCAUGAACAGGAUCUAUUUAUAUGUGACCCCAGGUCUUAGUGGCCUUGCUGAACUCACCUCAUAAACUAAGUUUCCUCAGGAAGGCAAGGGACUUGUCUGGACCCAGAGCCUGUCUCAGAGAAGAUCCUCUUGGUAGUGACUCUAGAAUGGACCAUCAGCAUGGCCAUGUGCACACCUACCCAGAACUGGCUGGGCUUUUGGAUAUCAACUUAUGUACCCAGGAAUUUUCUCUUUUAUUUUUCACUUUCUCUGUUCAUACCCAGUCUAUCAGCAAGUCCUGCCUUCUGUACUGUCAGAAUGUAUCACCUCUCCAUUGACUGUCCUCUGUCCCCACCGCCACCACCCUAGCCAAGCUGCCAUCAUUGUGCCUGGACUAUUGCAAUAGCACCUAGCUGCUCUCCGCUUUCUCUCUCCUGCGACCUGGCUCUUUCUGUACAGGACAGCCUGAGUAAUCUUUGUAAAACACAUAUCUGAUCAUGCCACUCCCUGAGCAAAACCCCCCAGUGACAUCCAUUGCAUUAAGAAUAAAAUACAGACUUAUCAGUACCUUUAAAACCCUACAUGCUCUACCCCUUGCCAGCUUUUCCCAGCUUACCUCUUGCUGCUCUGGCUUUUGGACCCAGUGCUAUGGCUACACUGGCCUUUUCUCUGUUCCAGGAAUGUAACAAAUUCCACCCUGCUUCAGAACCUUUGCACUUUUCUACUUUCGUCUGAAUUGCUCUCAUCCUUCAGGUCCCAGCUCAAGAAAGCAUUCCCUGACCACUCAAUCUAAGUGGUGCCCUCUCUCCCAGAGUUCUGUCAUACAUACUCUAUUUUCCUCUAAACUUACUGAUCACAGGCUGAAAUGAACUUGUUAUUUUUGUUUGUUUAUUCACCUUCCUCCCUCUAGAGCAUGUACUCCUUUAGAAUAGGGCUUUGUCUCUCUCAUUCUGCAAUGGAUCUCUAAUACCUAGAACCAGUUGUGCUUAGUGUAUAGUAGAUGCUUAGUAAAUAUUUUUUGAAUUAAUCCACUAGCUAAAUGGAUUAAUAAGGCCAAAUGUCUCAUAUGUAAUACGAAGAGGUGCCUACAAUCUUUGUAUCUUAAUGAUAGUCAUCUCUGUGCCGUAUUUUGCAAGAAUGUUGUGCAUCUGGGAAGAUGGUUGACAGCACUUGCCCGUCAACAGUUUGCUUAAUCUUGGACAUGAUAGUAGUGCUGGGCUUGCUUAAUCAGACACCUGGAUUCUAAGUCUCUCAGUCCCAGGUGAAGUUGGAAGUUAAGCAGAGGCUAGCUGAAUAGUAAAUAUUUUUAUUGUUUCCUUCCAUGAUCAGCAAUUUUAAUAUAACUUGGCACCAUUCCCAGAGGAAGCUAAUGUCCCAAAGAAUAUGAAAUAAAGCAUUAAAUUCUGUUGUUGGUAAUUCUUUGCCCAUAGUCACUAGUCACCUUUGUCUUUGGACCUCACCUUUUGCUGAAGCCUUUACUUUUUUGGAUCCUUCCUGCUGUUACUCUUUCUCUCUGGUUUCAUUUGAAUGGCAACUGUGAUGUUUCCAGUAUGGAUAAAACAAAGCAAAAGGCAUUCAGUGUCACUGGAUUUGCACAUUAAGAUCUCAGAGGCGAAGUCUCAUUCUGGGGAACGUUCCACCGCUAACACAGUGGACAGCAUUGAGUGAAGUCCCUGGGGGCCAACCACCUCCACUUACCUGUGGCCUUAACUCCUUAAGUCAGAGUUCCCGGACUUACCAUAGCAUACUACUUCAUUUUUCAGUGGAGUUGGGAGUUCCUCAGGGUGACCCCAAACAGUUAAAUAUGUGGCAUUUCUCCAGUGUUUACACAGUUAAAAUGAAGGAUACCAGAGCUGUGAGAACAAUAUUGUUACAUGAUACUUGGAAGUGUUUUUACCACAAAUGAUAAUCUAUCCAUAGCAACUAAGCUAGUACAUUUUUGUGUAGAGUUUCUAAUGCAGUCCUUGGGGAAAAACAGAAUGAACAAAAAAGGAGGUCUUUGUGCAUUGUGUACAGCUUGAGGGUCUCGGAGGGUUUUAAUUUCUGAAAAAAUAGGGGGGAAUUUGUUGCAGCGGAACGGAAUACCUGGCAGUCCCUCAUUGGUGGGCCUCCUGUCAGCCAAGGCCUGAUUGGCCAGCAUAAGUAGGUUUUACAGCUCCUUCCCCCCAGCUGUGACAUCCCAACUGCUUCAAGGAAAGAAUGCAAGGCAGGAAUGUCUCAAGAAGAAUAGAAUGUGCAUGUUUUCAUUGACUUUAAUCUCAAGGCACUGAAACUGUGUUUGUGUGUGUGUAAUAUUGAAAGCUGGCAGUAAGAGAGUGUAGCAGUCAAGCCAAGAAAAUGUUUUAAAAAGGUUUUGAAAAGAUAUAUCUAUCUCAUUGCCAAAUUUGUCCAUGGAUUUGUAUGCCCCCAAAAAAGCAUAUUUAGCUAAGAGAAGGCUCCAAAUAUGUACAGCUUAAUUAGCCCUUUUGUCAUUGUUUCUGAGCUGAGCCAUAAAAAGUCUUACAGAGAGGAAGUACCAAACAUUUUACCUUUCUUAUAGAGGAGACCAGAAGGGUGAAAUGACUUGUCCACAGGCAUUGAAAACAGCCAGAAUUCAGCCUAAGUGCCCAUGACGCCUGCCUAUUUUUGAAGGACUAGGUCCUCAUUACUCAGUAUCCUGGUCCCAGAUGCAGCCUGACAUGCUGCCUUGCCUGUAUGUUCAGAUAAUCUCUAUUGACUUCAGUUAUACACCACUUGAAAAGUAUUCCAAGUUAAAGAAGGUCGUCCUCUUUCUCCUCAAACCCUCCUCCUCCGAUGCAGUGAGGUCAGAACUCAGAACUAUUUUUAUUUCCUUUUUUCUCUUUUUCUUUUUUUUUUAAGAGACAGGAUCUUGCUAUAUUGCCCAGGCUGGUCUCAAACUCCUGGCCUCAAGGAAUCGUCUCGCCUUGGCCUCCCAAAGUGCUGGGAUAACAGGCGUGAGCCACCGCAUCCAGCCAUAACUGUUUAGAACUGUGCUGUUCAAUGCCGAUAGCUACUAGCUGCAGUGGCUAUUGAGCACUUGAAACGUGGCUAGUCCAAUUUAGAUGUACUGUAAGUGUAAAAGACAUACCAGAUUCCAAAGACUUAGUAUGAAAAAAGUCUAAAAUAUCUCCAUAUUAUUGAUUACAUGUUGAGAUGGUAAUAUUUUGGAUAUAUUUUCUUAAAAUAAGUGAUUACACUUAAUUUCACCUUAUUUCUUUUGAGUUUUUAAAAGGUACCUUCCAGAGGCCGGGUGCGGUGGCUCACAACUAUAAUCCCAGCACUUUGGGAGACCGAGGUGGUGGAUCACUUGAGGUCCGGAGUUCAAGAACAGCCUGGCCAACAUGGUGAAACCCUGUCUCUACUAAAAACACAAAAAUUGUCCGGGCAUGGUGGCAGGCACCUAUAAUCCCAGGUACUCAGCAGAUUGAGGAAGGAGAAUUGCUUGAACCCAGGAGGCGGAGUUUGCAGUGAGCUGAGAUCAUGCCACUGCACUCCAGCAUGGGCAAUAGAUUGAGACUUCGUCUCAAAAAAAAAUGUACCUACUAGAAAAUUUUAAAUUCUGUAUGAGAUGGGUAUUCUAUUUCUGUUGGACAGCACUGCUCUAGACAGUUGUCACUUAACCAUAGCCACACAUUGUCUUGAGUUAUCUCUUAUUAGAUUGUGUUGUUCUGUUAUUUAAAAUUGCAUAUAUUCAUUCCCCUAGCUUCUCACCUAAGCUACAAGCUCCUUAGAGACACAGAGUGUGCUUUACUCCUCCUUGAGCCCCUGGCACUUGGCAUGAUGUUUGGCAUUCAUCAAAUAGCAUUUUGAUGGGUUUAAAUCAUUUUCCUUGGCCAUUACUGAAGAAGACUGGAGGAUUUAUACUCUCUACAUUGGCCUUCAAAGUGGACAAGUCUUAGGUAGACAAUUGGAGAGGAGAAAAUAAGAACCAUAUUCAAACCUAACAAGCUAAUUCAGGGCAGAUAAAUGGUCUGUAUUAGAAACUUCCACUUGGACUUUCCUAAGAAACCGAAGGGUGAAAUUAUGAAACUAGUGGCAGCCUUACAAAAACAUUUUUUAGGAAGAGUGACAAGAUAUCUUGGGAACUCCUAAGAAUCACUCUGAGGAGUGUUGCUUUCAUAAUGGGGAGCCCGAAAGACCCUGUCAGUAGCAGUGGAGUCACUGGGUGUUCCUGUGUUGAGAAGGCGGUGUGGUAUGUCACAGGGGAGACUCUCCAACUCGUCACUGUGGACCAUGAGAACAGAAGCACCUCUCUCAAGUACCGGAGUUGGAGCCACCUGGGUCUGACUCUUACCUCAGUCAUGGCCCAGCUCUUGAAGUCACAGUCUCCUCAGUGCAAACAGGGAUGAAUCCCUGAGCCUCACAGAUCUUUGUGAGAUGAUUUUCAGCCCUAUAUGAACAGGCCUAACAUGUUUCUAACUCUGUAAGUGCUUACUAUACUGCUAUACUUCUGCUAUGACUAGACAAGACCAUUGCAGAACACAGGAACCGAUCAUUCUAUAGAAACCAAGCAUCUAGUGUGCUAUGCUGUGUCUGGGCCACCUCAAGAAAGCUCUAAGCAUAGGCAGCAUGAGGCAUUCCAGAGAUGACAUGUGAGCAGCAGUGAAGGAGAGAGGCUUCCGUGUGAAGGUGGCCUGAGCCAACCUAGAUUCUUCAGUCUGAAAAGACACAUAGAGAAUGUGACAGAAUCUGUAAAAUAAUAAAGAAAAUGGUGGAGGUAAACAUCACUGUCCCAUUUGAAAUUUGAAUAUAGUAAUUUCCAGGCACACAAUACGCAAUGAGUAGUAAAAGGAACAUGUUAUAUCCCAUAAGCUGUGAUAGAGGCUAAACAUAGAAAUUAAUCAAAGGGUAAUUAAAUAAUUCUUGAUUGACCGGGCACAGUGGCUUAGGCUUGUAAUCCCAGCACUUCGGAAGGCCGAGGCAGGUGGAUCACUUGCAAUCAGGAAUUCGAGACCAGCCUGGCCAACAUGGUGAAACCCCAUCUCUACUAAAAAUACAAAAAUUGGCCAGGCAUGGGGGCGUGUGCCUGUAAUCUCAGCUACUGGGAAGGCUGAGGCAGGAGAAUCGCUUGAACCCGGGAGGUGGAAGUUACAGUGAGCUGAGAUUGUGCCACUGCACUCCAGCCUUGGCACCAGAGCGAGACUCCAUCUCAAAAAAAAAAAAAAUUAUUGAUUGACAGCUUCAUAAUAGAUUUUUUUAAAUCUUAAAGCUAAUCUUCGUCAGGCGAUAUAUCUCUUAUCUGGAUGUCAUGGAGCCUGGCCAUACUGACCCAAAAACAUCCGAAGUGCCACUGUUGGCUGCUGCACUAACCUGAAGAGACUGUAAAUGACAUUUUAAAAUAAUUUUUGUUUAUUUUUAAGCAGCUUUAUUGAGAUAUCACUGACAUAUAAAAAUUGCAUAUAUUUAAGGUGUACAAAUGUUUUAAUGUUUUAAUAUUCAUAUAUAUGGUGAAAUGUUCACCAUAAUCAAGCUAAUUAACAUAUUCACUACCUCUACAUAGUUACCAUUUUGUGUGUGUGCAUGUUGAGAAAAUUUAAUUUAUGAUCUAUCCUCUUAGCAAAUUAAAAGUAUACAAACAGUAUUAUUAACUAUCAUCGCCAUGCUGUACAUUAGAUCUCCAAAAAUUACUCAUCUUGCAUAACCGAAACUUUGUACCCCCAAAUGACAUUUAAUAUACAAACCAUUUGUUGAGCAUUUUCUCAGGCAGUACACUGUGGUGGGUCUGGGGGAAGCUGAAGUGUGCAAGGCUCUUAGAGUCUACUUGAGAUAAGCCAUAUGUGCAUCAGAUAUUGAAUAGGACUCUCUCUAAUAGACUAAGGACCCAAAAGCCAUUAUUGGAAAGAUUUUGUUUAUGAAGAAAAUAAUAGGGCAAAUGGGGAGUUGGAUUACCAUGAAGCUAAUUAAGCUUUGAUUUCAGACCUUUUAUUUGCAAGGGUCUUGCAAGGCCAUUUACCCAAUUUGCAUUUAUAAUUGUAUAUUUUUUUAGCCCUCCCUAAACCAUUUAAGCUUGAGGCCCCACAAAACCAGGGUUUGGCCCUAGUGCAUUAACCUUGAGAUGAGGGACUGAUUGUGAGCACAUAUAAGGAAGGGAAACUUAUAGCAGGGACUGCACACAUGCAGUGCCCCCUGCCACACACAUCAGAACCACUGCUAGAAAUCACCAGUCCCUCCUCCUCUGUCCAUAGCAUAUGCAGGAUGUACCAACACAUUUCUUUCCAGAAAAAAAGAGAGACUUGAACAAGGUCAUGAGAUACUCCAGCAAGGUUUCAAGGUCCUGAAGCGGUUUUGCUCUUUCUCUCUGCUUUUCUCAGGCCUGUGCUACUGGGUUCCAGAAGAGCUGCCUGGGAGCAACCAGCAUCUCACCCCAUACGCCCCACUGCAGACCUCCCCCUGCUCUCCCCAGUUCUGUGAAUUCCUUUGUCCCCAGCUCCAUGGUAUUCUGUGUAUAUCUGAGGGGCCCUGGUGUUCCUGUGAAGUUUCCAUGACUAAUUCUGGCAAAGCAAAGAGAGCCUUUCUCACGUCAACAAAGCCACUCUGUCGCAGAAUAGUGGCAAGUAGAGCCAAAAUUCCACCUUGGCAUAAGUAGAGCUGUUCUUUUUUAAAAGAGUUGGAAGGAGGAAAAGAAUGGAGGGGACAGAGCCGGCCCACUUCAUGUUAGUGAAAUGAUGGUAUAUUAAACUGACAGUUUUAUGGCUUUGCUUAUAAGCUUCCUUUCCUGCCAAAGCACACUGUUCUUCCAGAAAUUAUUUUACUUCAGAAGACUUUUUUUUAAACAUUCAACGUGUAUUUUAUGUUCAGACUUAAUUCUGGUUGGCCCAGAGACUCAGAUGCACGAUCACCUCUACUGGUAGUUUUGCAAAUAACUUGCUUCUCCAUUUGCUUGCAAAGAUCUUUUUUGAUUGCAAAAAUCAUUUCCAUUUUUUAAGACCUUGGAUUCAAGACAUUUCCUGGCUUUGAUUUGUAAAGAGGUAGAGUGGUUUAGUGGAAAGAGGCUGGGAUUAAAGUCUGGAGACCUAGGGCCAGGCCUCAAUUCUACAACUGUGAGAUCUUGGACCAGUCACAUGUAGCUGUGAGCCUCAGUUUUAUUUUCACCAUAGGAUCUUAAAUCUAGAAGGGCCUCAGAGGUAUCCCCUGCCUGCCUAUCUAAAAAGAAUCAAAAAUGACAGUAAAAUUACAGAUCAACCAGAAUUGCUGUGCAAGUAUGAAUAUUGCCAUUCAAUGGCUGACCGUUGCUCAGAUACUUUCUACCUAGUAAAAAGUCAGGAAUGUUCCCAGUCUGUCUUCUACCAAAGGGAGUUUGCAAUGUGAAAAUUAAUGAGACCAAAUCUCCAGAGCUUGGCUUGCAACACACGAAAUGAAAACAACACGGAGACUGGUCAGGAAGAUGAUGCAGAAGGAUAAAGCUAGAAAUCUGAUGUUUCUCCAUUGCAGGCAGAUAUUUUGCUGAUUUUUAUCAAUAUAUCUGAGUGUCCACACUUCCAAAACACACCCUCUACCCCCACUCAAAUCAAUUACAUUCUCACAGGUACAUUUAGACUUAUAGGUUCAUACUUUUGUGAUAUUGGACCUGCCUGUGACCUCAUACUCCUAGAAAACAUCCAUGUGCCAAUGUGGUUAUCUACGCAUACAUGAAGUCCUCAUACUGCUUUGGGACCUCAUUCCUAAAAUCAUUACAGUGGUAGAACAAACACUUCUAUUUGCAAGAACUGCAUUGUACCUUGUGACCUCACCCUGUGCCAGCCCUUGGAACUGUCCCCACUCCCCAAAGCUCACUGCCUUGAUUGUACCCCAAGAGGGAACCUUGAGGCUCUGGAGUCAGACUGGCCUUUGUUCUAUUCCUGAGUCAGCUCUCACUAGUUAUGUGGCCUCCAUGCGUCACAGAGCUUUCCUGACUCUCCGAUGCCUCUGCAUCUGUUACAUGGGACUAAAAAUACAGAGACCUGCACAGAGGUUGUGAGGACAGAGAUAUCUGCAGAGCCUCACUCAGCUGAAGGUGCUAAAAUUAACAUUGGCCCUGGGUCCUAGGCCCUUGUCAUCCCCGACUAGAUUACAGUCUUAAACCUGGCCGGUUUUCCUGCUUGCAGCCUCUCUCCAUCCAGGCUGCCUUGCACUUUGAAUCAGAAUUUCAGAAAGGACCCAACACAAAUUAACAUUCCAAAGCACCAUAUCCAUCAUGUUACCUACCCAAUCCCAAACCUUCCAAGGUUCUCACUUCUCAUAGUCGCUGUGGAGAGCCCCUCAGGUCAGCCAUCGAGCGCCACCCCUCUCCCCAUCAUCACCUGCCACCCUGCUUCAUCUCCCUCUUCCUCACCACGAGAAGGGUUGAACCCAUGAGCAUGUUCAACCCCUCUCAAGGUGUUCUUUUCCCCCACUCAGAAUCAGUUUCUCAGUAGAUGGGUAAGACUACCCACCACCCUAAGCAACUUUCUAGGCACCUCGGGGAUGCACCUGACACUCCCACUCCCAGAGAAGAUGAGGCUUGGAGAAGAGCUUUCAAUGGCACAAAGCCUAUCUCUCUGGAGAAAAUUUUCUUCAUUGUUGAUUUCUGCAUCAAAGCAUGCCUGUGAAUGGGGAUCACUGGGGAGGGCUAUGAGGCUGCAGGUGAGACCUCCCCCACAUUGGUAGAUCCCCCUACCCAUGUUUUUGGAGCAGCCACCCUAUUCUUCCACCUCCUGCACCACUUCUUGUUCCGAGGACAGAGCUGGGUGGAGCUGCAGGAGCCAACACUGCGCUUCUGCAUUGCAGUGCUGGGCUGUGCAAGACAGAGAGAGAUUGCCACCUAUUGACAGACGUGUCACCUGCAAAGAGGAAUGAUUGUGUAACUAGUGGCUCCCCCCUUCUCUGUGUGCUCUUCAAACGGGCCUUUUGUUUUUUCCAUUCAGUGAGUCCUUCUGUUCUCUAUUAUCACUGCAGUGCAAGGGAGGACAGGGAAAAACGGGGACAUGACAGCCCAAGGUGGUAGUGACAGCAUCUCAGUGGGAAAGUUGUCUGAAAAUAAAUUGCCCACUGUAGUAAUAGCCACUUUCAGUUGUGUGGCAGGCACUGUGCUGCCUGCAGUACAUCCCGUUUAAUCCUCACAACAACCCUCUAAGAAUCAGUACUCCCAGUUUUCACGAGGAAGCUGAGGUUUAAAGAGAGCACCUGGCCCACGACCAGCAAGUAAGGAAUAGAGGUGGGAUGUGGGUAAUUUAAACCUAAAUCUCUGACGCACUCUUAACGCACAUUCUCCCGACACUUGCUAAUUAUGCAACUCACACCCCCAUCAUAAUUUCCUUACGUCAUCUGGAUAUGAAAAUAAAUCAAAUAUAAACUGCUUUCCCUUUGGGCAGAAUUCUAGCUCUGCCACUUUCUAGUUAUUUAAGCCUCUGCUCUCUCACCUGUGAAAUGGGGCUAGUAAUGAUGUCUAACUUAAGGAGUUAUUGAAGAGCUUAAAUCACAUAUAAUAAAAAUAGUAGGAUGCCGGAUAUUUAUAAAUGGGAGUUUAGUUAUCAGUGGUUGAAGAUACGAGUUGGAAUCCUAGCUCCUCUCAUUUCUAGCUUUGGAAACUUGGGCAAGUUAUCUGACCUUUCUGGUCUUCAAUUUCCUCAUCUAUGGAAUAGGGUUAAUAAUAAUAUACCUAUUCUUGCAGGGUUUCCCUAUAAGACAAAAUCAUGUGUAUGAAAACAUUUUGUAAAUUGUACUAUUCAAAUAUUAGUUGUUAUAACUCAAAAGUUAUCUGUUUCUUCAAAUGGAUUUUUGAGAACUAUUCCUGAAAAAUGACUUGGUUUAAUUCAAUCCGUUUUUAAUACUUACUAAAAACAACAAUGUAAGUUAAAAGGAGGUUCCAUACAUGCCACAGGCUUUUCUGCAAGUAGCUCUAUAAGGCAUUCCCAUGAAUAACAGGUUUCAUAUGCAGCUUGUUUUACAGUUGGUACUUCCACAUGUAUCUCACUGAAUCUCCGCAGGGCAGGGUUGGCAUUUACCCCUACUUUAUAGAUGAGGACAUGUGAGCCUUAAAGAAUGAAAAUUACUAGUUAAGGACAGAGACUAGUGAGUGGAGGUUUGUGGGUGUUUGCCUGUGGAGCUGUGUGCGGGUGUCUUUGAGUGCAGGCAUGUGUCUGAGCAUGCUUUUUUAUGCAUUUGUGUGUCCAUAACUCAUGGGAACAACUCGUCAGCAAAAACCUUUUCCUCUUCCUUUUUCGUGUUGCCUUACAUUGUCAGGCACAGUUUCCACAAGAGGGCCCUGCCUGGAGAAUAUCCUUGAUUUUUAUCUCCACUCUCUGUUUAGGAAAACAAAAGCUCUCCAAUCCCCGCGGACUUCUGGGAAUUACUUCCUCUUUCUUCCCCGCCUGCUAGCUUUCUUGAAUUCGCCUUAGCAACAUUCAAAAAAGAAUUGGUUUAUCAACAGCAUGUGAACCAAUGAAAUGUGAGCUGAGAACGGCUUCUAGACCAAUGGGAGCCCUGCAUGACCAGCAAGCUGGCUUGGGACAGAAAAUAAUGACCUGGAGUUUGCAGAGCAGCCUCUGGGUGGCAGCAGACUAGCUGUAUUGGAUACAGCACCUCAGCUCGAAAGCCUCUUCUUUCUUUUUGCUUUUUUCCCCUAAUCUUGAGUAUAAAACAUUCACCAACUAUAAGAAUUGUACUGUUA